rnacentral:rRNA from 1 species
AGGUUUGAUCAUGGCUCAGGACGAACGCUGGCGGCGUGCCUAACACAUGCAAGUCGAGCGAGAAUCUGAUGACGGAAGUUUUCGGACGGAAGAUGUUGGAGGAAAGCGGCGGACGGGUGAGUAACGCGUGAGUAACCUGCCUAUCAGAGGGGGACAACAUUCCGAAAGGGAUGCUAAUACCGCAUAACAUUGCAGAACCGCAUGGUUCAGUAAUCAAAGAUUUAUCGCUGAUAGAUGGACUCGCGUCUGAUUAGAUAGUUGGUGGGGUAAAGGCCUACCAAGUCAACGAUCAGUAGCCGAACUGAGAGGUUGAUCGGCCACAUUGGGACUGAGACACGGCCCAG